AAAAAAAAAAAAAAAGGCACGGAACUGCCCCGCGGAUGGUGGUGCGGGAGCAGAGGGGCUGGCACGGAGCGCAGGACGGGCACAGACACGGGGCCCCCUCACCGUGUGGAACACUGGGCCUCACAUAAACCAGGCAGGAGAGAUGUUUCCAAGAUGGGAUCAUUUCACACCAGAACUCAUAUACUGAAACCCUAAUUAAUACUGAAAAGUCUGUGCUCUGCCAUGUCCUCAAAUCCGUGGAAUUGGGGUAAGGACACUGAACUAUCCGAUGUGUUUCUCCCACACGUACACAGAGCUAAUGCUUCCACCACACCUAUCCUUUUGUAAAAAUGUAACUGUUGCAACAGUUCCUGUUCCUGAUGCAGUGACUCAGUUAUAUCUUGUUCUCCAGUGAAAAUUUUGAUUGAUACACAGUUAUCCUGCUAUUAUGGAGAGGGAUUAUGAGGACUGGAAGUGGUUGUUUACAGAGGGGAGGGUUGUUCCACGUGGGCUGGGUGGGGUUUGCUUUGCAAAUCUCACUGGACAAAUCAGUUUUGCUGCAUUUUAAAAUCUGUCAGAAGAACCUCACAUUGCAGUGGUUUGUUCUGAUGGCCUCACACAGCCCUGUGCUGUGCAUUAUCUUGAUUUUUUUUUUAAUUUCUUUUUAAUUUUUAACCUUCCUUUUCU